rnacentral:tRNA from 1 species
GCGGACAUAGCUCAGCAGGUAGAGCACGAGCUUCCCAAGCUCGGGGUCGCGGGUUCAAAUCCCGUUGUCCGCU